ACCAGUUAUAACAUAAACUGAUGGUGUUCCCUUUUCUAUGCAGUGUAGAAUAGCGGUGUACCUGUGGUGAAGCUAAUUGUGUGUCUGCAUCUGCAAGAGGAGAGCGAUGGAACGCCCUGUCUGUACAAAAAGUGCUAUCAACAUGUUGUAUUGUCUUACAUAGAUGCUCGAAGGAUGUUGUUUUGUUUUGUUUUCUCAAGGCAUGUGCCUAUUUUAUCUCCAAACCUACAACAGCAGAGGGGUGGAGUGUCAGAAUGUUUUUUGGGGGUGCAAGAUCCCAAUUCGUACAGAGAUUAAUGUCCCUUCCUAUAAGGGACGACCCCUGAUUCUCUGAAAUUGAACUUGUUGUAUACUGCAGUUUGACAUGAGCUGUUGUUGUUGUUGUUGUCUGAACUUGCAUACUUGAAAUUGAACUUGUUGUAUACUGCAGUUUGACAUGAGCUGUUGUUGUUGUUGUCUGAACUUGCAUACUGAGUUGCCCAGUUUGCAACUUGCAAUUGUUUUUGUUUUCAGAAAGGAGGAUAUGACCCAUCUUUCUACAUCGAUUGAUUCACGCACACACAUAUAACAUUCACUAUUAAAAAACAAUUGUGACAUGCCUUGAGGUAACUUCUCUGAAUCCAGGUACAGAACAUAUAUGUGGUAUUUUUUUCGAGAGUACACAUCUCAC
rnacentral:lncRNA from 1 species